rnacentral:rRNA from 1 species
GAUGAACGCUGGCGGCGUGCUUAACACAUGCAAGUCGAACGUGAGAGGUAGCAAUAUCUUGAAAGUGGCGAACGGGUGAGUGACACGUAGGUGACCUGCCUCGGAGUGGGGGAUAACAGUUAGAAAUGACUGCUAAUACCGCAUGAUUCCACCGACUGGGGAUAGUGGGUGGAGAAAACUCUGGUGCUUAGAGAGGGGCCUGCGGCCGGUUAGCUAGGUGGUGGGGUAAAGACCUACCAAGGCGACGAACGGUAGCCGGUCCGAGAGGAAGAUCGGCCACACGGGAACUGAGACACGGUCCCGACUCCUACGGGGGGCAGCAGUGAGGAAUAUUGGGCAAUGGGCGGAAGCCUGACCCAGCAACGCCGCGUGGAGGAAUGAAGGCCUUCGGGUUGUAAACUCCUUUUGCAGGGGAGGAGGAAGGACGGUACCCUGCGAAUAAGUCACGGCUAACUACGUGCCAGCAGCCGCCGUAA